GGGUCGUUAGCUCAGUCGGUAGAGCACUCAGUCGGUAGAGCAGCGGACUUUUAAUCCGUUGGUCGAAGGUUCGAAUCCUUCACGACCCACCA
rnacentral:tRNA from 1 species